rnacentral:rRNA from 1 species
AUUGAACGCUGGCGGCAGGCCUAACACAUGCAAGUCGAACGGUAACAGGAAGAAGCUUGCUUCUUUGCUGACGAGUGGCGGACGGGUGAGUAAUGUCUGGGAAACUGCCUGAUGGAGGGGGAUAACUACUGGAAACGGUAGCUAAUACCGCAUAAUGUCGCAAGACCAAAGAGGGGGACCUUCGGGCCUCUUGCCAUCGGAUGUGCCCAGAUGGGAUUAGCUAGUAGGUGGGGUAACGGCUCACCUAGGCGACGAUCCCUAGCUGGUCUGAGAGGAUGACCAGCCACACUGGAACUGAGACACGGUCCAGACUCCUACGGGAGGCAGCAGUGGGGAAUAUUGCACAAUGGGCGCAAGCCUGAUGCAGCUAUGCCGCGUGUAUGAAGAAGGCCUUCGGGUUGUAAAGUACUUUCAGCGGGGAGGAAGGGAGUAAAGUUAAUACCUUUGCUCAUUGACGGUACCCGCAGAAGAAGCACCGGCUAACUCCG